CCUACGGGGAGGCAGCAGUGGGGAAUAUUGCACAAUGGGGGAAACCCUGAUGCAGCGACGCCGCGUGAGUGAAGAAGUAUUUCGGUAUGUAAAGCUCUAUCAGCAGGGAAGAAAAUGACGGUACCUGACUAAGAAGCCCCGGCUAACUACGUGCCAGCAGCCGCGGUAAUACGUAGGGGGCAAGCGUUAUCCGGAUUUACUGGGUGUAAAGGGAGCGUAGACGGUGAUGCAAGUCAGAAGUGAAAGCCCGGGGCUCAACUCCGGGACUGCUUUUGAAACUGUGUGACUGGAGUGCAGGAGAGGUAAGCGGAAUUCCUGGUGUAGCGGUGAAAUGCGUAGAUAUCAGGAGGAACACCAGUGGCGAAGGCGGCUUACUGGACUGUAACUGACGUUGAGGCUCGAAAGCGUGGGGAGCAAACAGGAUUAGAUACCCUGGUAGUC
rnacentral:rRNA from 1 species